rnacentral:rRNA from 1 species
AAUAGAUACCCCGGUAGUCCACCCCGUAAACGUUGGGAACUAGUUGUGGGGUCCUUUCCACGGAUUCCGUGACGCAGCUAACGCAUUAAGUUCCCCGCCUGGGGAGUACGGCCGCAAGGCUAAAACUCAAAAGGAAUUGACGGGGACCCGCACAAGCGGCGGAGCAUGCGGAUUAAUUCGAUGCAACGCGAAGAACCUUACCAAGGCUUGACAUACACCAGAACACCCUAGAAAUAGGGGACUCUUUGGACACUGGUGAACAGGUGGUGCAUGGUUGUCGUCAGCUCGUGUCGUGAGAUGUUGGGUUAAGUCCCGCAACGAGCGCAACCCUCGUUCUAUGUUGCCAGCACGUAAUGGUGGGAACUCAUGGGAUACUGCCGGGGUCAACUCGGAGGAAGGUGGGGAUGACGUCAAAUCAUCAUGCCCCUUAUGUCUUGGGCUUCACGCAUGCUACAAUGGCCGGUACAAAGGGCUGCAAUACCGUGAGGUGGAGCGAAUCCCAAAAAGCCGGUCCCAGUUCGGAUUGAGGUCUGCAACUCGACCUCAUG